rnacentral:rRNA from 1 species
GAUGAACGCUGGCGGCGUGCCUAAUACAUGCAAGUCGAGCGAACAGACGAGGAGCUUGCUCCUUCGACGUUAGCGGCGGACGGGUGAGUAACACGUAGGUAACCUACCUAUAAGACUGGGAUAACUUCGGGAAACCGGAGCUAAUACCGGAUAAUAUUUCGAACCGCAUGGUUCGAUAGUGAAAGAUGGCUUUGCUAUCACUUAUAGAUGGACCUGCGCCGUAUUAGCUAGUUGGUAAGGUAACGGCUUACCAAGGCAACGAUACGUAGCCGACCUGAGAGGGUGAUCGGCAACACUGGAACUGAGACACGGUCCAGACUCCUACGGGAGGAAGCAGUAGGGAAUCUUCCGCAAUGGGCGAAAGCCUGACGGAGCAACGCCGCGUGAGUGAUGAAGGUCUUCGGAUCGUAAAACUCUGUUAUUAGGGAAGAACAAACGUGUAAGUAACUGUGCACGUCUUGACGGUACCUAAUCAGAAAGCCACGGCUAACUACGUG